UACGAGGGGUGCAAGCGUUGCUCGGAAUUAUUGGGCGUAAAGGGUAGGUAGGUGGUCUCAUUUGUCUGGGGUGAAAAUCCUUGAGCUUAACUCAAGAAGUGCCCCAGAAACGGUGAGACUGGAGUCUUGGAGAGGGUCGUGGAAUUCCCGGUGUAGCGGUGAAAUGCGUAGAGAUCGGGAGGAACACCAGCGGCGAAGGCGGCGACCUGGACAAGUACUGACACUCAACUACGAAAGCCAGGGGAGCGAACGGG
rnacentral:rRNA from 1 species